rnacentral:lncRNA from 1 species
UUAUAAGGAAGGCGUUAGUCCUCCAUUUUCAGGGCUUUCUCUGGGCCAGGGACAUGGCCGUGGCAUUUCUGGUCUUGUAAACACUGGCCUCUUUGGGGCCU